rnacentral:rRNA from 1 species
ACGCUGGCGGCGUGCCUAAUACAUGCAAGCCGAACGGCAGCACGGAGCUUGCUCUGGUGGCGAGUGGCGAACGGGUGAGUAAUAUAUCGGAACGUACCCUAGAGUGGGGGAUAACGUAGCGAAAGUUACGCUAAUACCGCAUACGAUCUAAGGAUGAAAGUGGGGGAUCGCAAGACCUCAUGCUCGUGGAGCGGCCGAUAUCUGAUUAGCUAGUUGGUAGGGUAAAAGCCUACCAAGGCAUCGAUCAGUAGCUGGUCUGAGAGGACGACCAGCCACACUGGAACUGAGACACGGUCCAGACUCCUACGGGAGGCAGCAGUGGGGAAUUUUGGACAAUGGGCGAAAGCCUGAUCCAGCAAUGCCGCGUGAGUGAAGAAGGCCUUCGGGUUGUAAAGCUCUUUUGUCAGGGAAGAAACGGUGAGAGCUAAUAUCUCUUGCUAAUGACGGUACCUGAAGAAUAAGCACCGGCUAACUACGUGCCAGCAGCCGCGGUAAUACGUAGGGUGCAAGCGUUAAUCGGAAUUACUGGGCGUAAAGCGUGCGCAGGCGGUUUUGUAAGUCUGAUGUGAAAUCCCCGGGCUCAACCUGGGAAUUGCAUUGGAGACUGCAAGGCUAGAAUCUGGCAGAGGGGGGUAGAAUUCCACGUGUAGCAGUGAAAUGCGUAGAUAUGUGGAGGAACACCGAUGGCGAAGGCAGCCCCCUGGGUCAAGAUUGACGCUCAUGCACGAAAGCGUGGGGAGCAAAC